UAGGGAAUCUUCCACAAUGGACGCAAGUCUGAUGGAGCAACGCCGCGUGAGUGAAGAAGGUCUUCGGAUCGUAAAACUCUGUUGUUAGAGAAGAACACGAGUGAGAGUAACUGUUCAUUCGAUGACGGUAUCUAACCAGCAAGUCACGGCUAACUACGUCNCA
rnacentral:rRNA from 1 species